UAUUCAACGUUCUAUCUCCAAUAAUUUGCUCUACUUCUCGCUAGAAACCUUCAUCAGAACAUCACUUGGUGGGGCAAUUUUCUUCUUCAAAUAAUUUUAACUGCUACUUCUGGUUCUCACUGCUGUUCGUAACCAAGUUUCUAAAUUCUAAAAUUACUCUCUAGUCAUCACGUUCACUGCGAAAGAAAGUGAAGCUUCGAUCUCUUUAAUAAUCACUUCCUCCUAAGAAAGAUGGAUUGCCCUGAUUGCAAGGAUAGAUUUAAAGGUACUCUUGAUGAAUUUAACAAGCAUAGGAAGCAGCAUGCUGAUGAAAAUAAAAGGCUUCAGGCCGAGAAAGAGAGGAUCGAAG